CCUACGGGAGGCAGCAGUGGGGAAUAUUGCACAAUGGGGGGAACCCUGAUGCAGCGACGCCGCGUGAGUGAAGAAGUAUUUCGGUAUGUAAAGCUCUAUCAGCAGGGAAGAAAAUGACGGUACCUGACUAAGAAGCCCCGGCUAACUACGUGCCAGCAGCCGCGGUAAUACGUAGGGGGCAAGCGUUAUCCGGAUUUACUGGGUGUAAAGGGAGCGCAGACGGCGGUGCAAGUCUGGAGUGAAAGGCGGGGGCCCAACCCCCGGACUGCUCGGGAAACUGUAAAGCUGGAGUGCAGGAGAGGUAAGCGGAAUUCCUAGUGUAGCGGUGAAAGGCGUAGAUAUUAGGAGGAACACCAGUGGCGAAGGCGGCUAACUGGACGGCAACUGACGUGGAGGCUCGAAAGCGUGGGGAGCAAACAGGAUUAGAUACCCCAGUAGUC
rnacentral:rRNA from 1 species